rnacentral:lncRNA from 1 species
UUCCGCCCCAGCCGGCGGCUGGCCAGCGUGGUGGCGACCGUGCCGGAGCUGUGCCACCGGCACCGGCGACCCCUCACUCCUUUCUGUUACGGCGAUGGAGUCCUCGUCUGCACAGCCUGCCUCUCGAGGAGGCCGCUCGCUGGUACAGGGUGAGCGGAUCCCCGUCUCAGACACUCUCCCCCUGCCUGGGCGACGCUAAUUGCCCUUAAAACUCAGCCCCCAGAAUAUGUAUUUUGAGCAGGGGGAAAGCAUUUCCCUAUCUUUCUAGGGACAAAAACCCCCCAGCAAACCAAGAUAAGCAUCUAGAAGCCAAAACUGAGGUGAAAUGCUGCAAUUUGGUGAUAGUUAAGUAUGAAACAGUACAGUGGUGGCAGUUUUGGGACCAAAACUAAAUACUGGUUUUUGGAGAUUGCAAACUCCCGCUCUCACACAGCACCUACACUGUGAAGAGUUCCUAUUCUGCUUCCGGGUGUGGAGGGGAAAUGAGGGUCCCAAAAUGGGCUUUGGACCUGGCUGGGGGUGCAGGGAGUAGGGGGAAGGGGAUGGAAACUGAAGGGUGGUGGGAGCUUCUUAAGGUCUGGUGGCAACUUUUUUACAGGAGACCUUGGAGAGAUGGGCUAUCCCAGCCUGGAUAUCCCAGUGUCCACUUGUUACUGUGUGUUUACAUAAAUGUUCAGAUAAGGUGAGAGUGUGCAUGCAGCAUAGCUGGAGUUCACCAAAACAUGGAUAUGCAUGUACAUACCUACUUCAGUGCAGCUGCAGAGGAAGCAGUUUGAAAUUUCCCUAAAAACCCUGCAAGAGGAGGACAAGAGAUGUGCUGGGCUGACUGAGGCAGCAAAGGACACGAGACUGGAGAUGCUGACUCGAGUUAGUGCUGAGAAGCAGAAGCUGCAGGCGAUGCUGAAAGGGCUCUGCCUGGUGCCGAGUGACCAGGAAUCACUGUUCCUUUCCUGGUUCCAUCGCCUGAGAUGGAGGUUGGAGGAACAGCAACGUGAUAAAGCUGUUGAGAUGUCAUGGAUCCAGCAAAGCCGUGCAGAGCUCCAGGCCAAGUGCCAACAACCAGAUGGUGACCUGCUGUGGGUGAGCAAAAACUUUCCCCCAGCAUCUGUUUCCCUCCUACUGGCUUUUAUUCACAGGAAAGCAGCCCUAAACACCUUUCUCCCUUUCUCUCCAGAAUGUCCAAACAACCUUGAGCAGGUGUUGGAGCCAAAAAGCAUCACCAGGAACACCAGUUUUGGUCCCAAAUCCUCCAUUUUUCCAAUCAUCUUCUCACCCUGUGUUCUUUUCCUCUGGGAUUUUUGCUUUGGAGCUGGAUGGGGUUGA